UACGUAGGGGGCGAGCGUUGUCCGGAUUUACUGGGCGUAAAGAGCGCGCAGGCGGUCGUUCAAGUCGCGUGUGAAAGCCCCCGGCUCAACUGGGGAGGGUCACGCGAUACUGAUCGACUCGAAGGCAGGAGAGGGUAGUGGAAUUCCCGGUGUAGUGGUGAAAUGCGUAGAUAUCGGGAGGAACACCAGUGGCGAAGGCGACUACCUGGCCUGUUCUUGACGCUGAGGCGCGAAAGCUAGGGUAGCAAACGGG
rnacentral:rRNA from 1 species